AUUUGUUUAGUUUAAAAAAAAUAUAAAUUUGUGGAAUUUAAGAUACAACUAGGUAACAGAUA
rnacentral:tRNA from 1 species